rnacentral:lncRNA from 1 species
AACGGCAAACUAAGCGUAUCUGCAGGAUCAGAAUGAGCGCUUCAGAGGAAAUGAUGGCGAUUCUCCAGAACGUCUGGACCAAACUGCAGGGUCUUCCUCAAGACCACCCGCUCACGCAGGCGGCGUUUCUCAUCAUGCUGCUGUUCUUCUUGACAUUCAUCGCUCUGAUCGUGACUGGAUGUGUUUAUGGCCGAUGUGGCUGCUGUAAGACAGGGACCAGAAACAGAGUCUCCGCCGUCUGAAACAUGGGCUCCACAAUAAAGAGGAAGAUGGUGGGGGGAGUUUUGUGUUGUCAAAUCAGAAGAGCUUCAAUGAGAAAAACGUUCAACCUUAAUUAUGAACGUCACAAAUAAACAAUAAAUUCCCAACCUCUCUCAUUAUGGGAAUGCAACCUCUAUGAAACCAGUGCCAAAUACUGCCCUCAAGUGUUGCAGAGAUGAAGAAACCAGAGGCGGACAGUUGUGUGUAGAUCAAAUGCUGUUCUUUUGUACAUUCUGUUCAUCAAAGAAUCCUGGAAAAGCAAAUCAGAAUGAUUUCUGAAGGAUCGUGUGACACUGAAGACUGGAGUAAUGAUGCUGAAAAUACAGCUGCGCAUCACAGGAAUAAAUUACAUUUUAAAAUAUAUUCAUAUAGACAACCGUUUCAAUAUAUUAUUGUUUUUACUGUAUUUUAAUUAAAUAAAUGCAGUCUUGAUGAGCAGAAGUGACAUCUUUUAAAAACAUUAAAAAUCUUACCGACCACAAACUUUUGUAUUAAGAUUAUGUUCUAUAUUCAGGAAAAUGGAGCAGAAUCUAGGUGAAAUUAAAUGGAAAUAAUCAAAUAUGCAUAUCAUCUAAAAUGACAUGUAUUUGAUGUAUAUAAAGUGAGCUAAAUAUUCAUGCAUGUUUCUUCACGUUAUUGUUUUAUUAAACAUUUAUUACACCCUUAAGCCAGAAUUUAAAGUGUCUGUGUUUGAGCUCACCCUUCUUGUUCACAAAAAGCAACCAUUGCCUCAAAG